CUCUAUCUUGUAUGUAUACGCUAUCAAAGCGGCAAAAGCGAAAAAAGUCGAAGUGCAAAUAAUUUCAGCGGAGCGGAAAACAAAGAUAAAUCAGAAGCAUGUCGGACUACAGAUCACAAUCGCGCAGUGGCGGAGGACGUGGCGGCCAGGAGUACUCAAACGACGAUGAUCCGCCGAUGUCGCGGCUAUUCAUCAUUUGCAACAAGGCACACACGGAGGAGGAUUUCCGUGAAGCCUUCUCGCCAUACGGCGAAAUCGAGGAUAUUUGGGUAGUGAAGGACAAGCACACGCAGGAGAACAAGGGAAUCGCCUACGUCAAGUUCUCCAAGACAUCGGAUGCGGCCAAGGCGCAGGAGGAGAUGAACGGCAAGACCAUUGGCAAGAUGGAUCGCACCCUCAAAGUCCUGGUGGCAGCCAAUCGCAAUCAGGGCUCAAAUAAGUCUGAGAACGAGCAGGAGAAGUACGUAAGACUCUUCAUAGUAAUCCCGAAAACAGCCACCGAGGAGGAUAUUCGCGAGGAGUUCUCCCAGUGGGGCGAUGUGGAAUCUGUCACAAUUGUCAAGGAGAAGAACAAUGGCAAUCCCAAGGGCUUUGGAUAUGUCCGCUUCACCAAGUUCUACUAUGCAGCUGUGGCUUUCGAAAACUGCUCCGCGAAGUAUAAAGCUGUUUUUGCUGAGCCAAAGGGUUCUACACGCACACAAAGGGAUCAGUACGGUCGUCCCUCCGAGGAUAAUCCUUUGUAUAGCAGCUCGGGACGUGGCAAUUCCAAUUUUAAUGGAGGCGGUAGCAGCAGCGGUGGCGGCGGUAGCAGCAGCUACAACAACGACUGGAAUGUGUCGCAGAACAACGACAUGGCGGCCUUCCUUCGCAUGCAGAAUGUCCCAGUGGCCCAGCCCUCAUGCCUGGAGGUCAACGUGAGUAACUGCGUCAACCAGGAUCAGCUCUGGCGGCUCUUCGACAUCAUACCCGGCUUGGAUUACUGCCAAAUCAUGCGUGAACAUGGACCGCGCACCAAUGAGGCCUUAGUGGUGUAUGACAACCCAGAAGCCGCUAUUUAUGCCAAGGAUAAACUCCAUGGAUUGGAGUACCCAAUGGGCGAACGCAUCAUUGUCAAAGUCAAUGGAAUGAGCUCAGCUCGAAUGGACACAUCCUUCAUAGACAAGCGCACCAAAAAGGAUGCCAUCUGCAAUGUGCCUUUGCCCCCAACUCAGCCACUGGCAUCGCCGGACGACCAGGUGGCCCAACGACUGUUUAUUGUGCUCUCUGCGAACUUGCCGCAUUCGAUCUUGAAAAACAUAUUCUCUUGCUGGUCGGGACUGAUCGACGUCUACCUGCUGCCCAACAAGAACUGUGGCUACGUCAAGUACGCGGAGGUCGAGAGUGCUCAAAUGGCCAUUCGCACCCUGAAUGGAGCCGAAAUUUGCGGCACCAAAAUCAAGGUCAUGGAGGCUGAGGAGCGCAGUGGAUCCGAUGGCGAUGAUGGUGGUCGCAAGCGGUUAAGGCGGAAUUGAGUGUAAGUAGCUAGUUGAGAACGCAUAAUUCCCGUAUCUAUUUAUGUAGCCAUAGUUGGACUGAGUGUGUGCCGUGGUCCGAGACCCACUGACAACCAAGAACUUACAGAGAACGCAAUGUACGAGUACGUAACUAACUUGAGCAUACAGUCCGAUAAAAACAGUCGAAACAGUUGAACUGACAACCACCAACAACGCAACAACCAACCAAUAACCAAACAAGAACCACCACCACCACAACAACACUCUCUUAACGGAAUAUCCACAAGAACCACGAGGACUGGAGAACGCAGACCGGAAACGGAAACGGCGAACGAAGACCGGACACCGGAGACCGUACCCGGGUGAACAAACCAAACGAGCCAACGAAAUCACCACACCCGUUGACUCUACUAUUGACUAACUCAAGUGGGCCUCGUACAGAGCACUCGUAGAAAGACCCUUUUUCGUACGACCUUUAAACGGAGCCAACGAAACCGCAAUGCUUGCUAUAUACACUAUACAUAUAUGGUGUCGUAUAUAUUUCUGUAAACAUACCGCUUAGGGGACUUUUGAAUCUAGCCGUGAUACAGGAACGAACUCUGUGUAACUUGAACUAUUACUAACGUAUUUCGACGAGAUUCAGCCAAGCAAUAAAUUCAAACGCAAUGAA